UGGGGAAUAUUGGACAAUGGAGGAAACUCUGAUCCAGCAAUUCUGUGUGUGUGAAGAAGGUUUUAGGACUGUAAAACACUUUUAGUAGGGAAGAAAAAAAUGACGGUACCUACAGAAGAAGCAACGGCUAAAUACGUGCCAGCAGCCGCGGUAAUACGUAUGUUGCGAGCGUUAUCCGGAAUUAUUGGGCUUAAAGGGCAUCUAGGCGGUAAGACAAGUUGAAGGUGAAAACCUGUGGCUCAACCAUAGGCUUGCCUACAAAACUGUUGAACUAGAGUACUGGAAAGGUGGGUGGAGCUACACGGGUAGAGGUGAAAUUCGUAGAUAUGUGUAGGAAUGCCGAUGAUGAAGAUAACUCACUGGACAGCAACUGACGCUGAAGUGCGAAAGCUAGGGGAGCAAACAGG
rnacentral:rRNA from 1 species